rnacentral:rRNA from 1 species
AGCAGCCGCGGUAAUUCCAGCUCCAAUAGCGUAUAUUAAAGUUGUUGCAGUUAAAAAGCUCGUAGUUGAAUUUCGGGAUCAAUUUAUUGGUCGUGCUAUUGUACGUACUGGUGUUAUUGAUUCCUACCUUCUGACGAACCAUGAUGUCAUUAAUUUGGUGUCUUGGGGAAUCAGGACUGUUACUUUGAAAAAAUUAGAGUGUUUAAAGCAGGCUCACGCUUGAAUACAUUAGCAUGGAAUAACGAAAUAGGACGUUUGAUUCUAUUUUGUUGGUUUCUAGGAUCGACGUAAUGAUUAAUAGGGAUAGUUGGGGGCAUUAGUAUUCAAUUGUCAGAGGUGAAAUUCUUGGAUUUAUUGAAGACUAACUACUGCGAAAGCAUUUGCCAAAGAUGUUUUCAUUAAUCAAGAACGAAAGUUAGGGGAUCGAAGACGAUCAGAUACCGUCGUAGUCUUAACCAUAAACUAUGCCGACUAGGGAUCGGAUGAUGUUAAUUUUUUAAUGACUCA